UGUUCUGGAAGGGAGGCAUUACUGUCACAGGCGGGUGAUGUUGUCCUGUCGUUGCUGAACUGGAACUUUAGAACUUAGAAAAUUAGAACUGGAGUAAGAAGAAGCGGCGUCUUAUUGGAUGAUGACCUGUCGUCACUUCCGCCUGAUUUCAACGUUGUAUGCGUGAUGCAGCAAGUGUAGCGAAACAGAAACGUCGAGAAAACGCCCAAGCGAACAUCUCUCUCCUUCGUCAGCGGUUUAGUUUUUGAUUCCGCAAAACUAAACUCUUUUGUUUAAGUUAUUUCCUUAUUAUAAAUAACGUACUUGUUUUAGUACGCGCGUCGGUAUGUGUAUUGACGACAUGGGAACAGAAGGGAGAAAGCAGCGCGAGAGCCGCUCCAACGGGUUUAGAAGGAAGACGGGUGUUGUGGAAGCCGCUGUACGGAGGUCGUCGAGGAAGCCUGGACGUCGUUCUCACAGCUUGGCGUCGGUGAAGGAGAAGCAGAAACAUUCAGACGCGCUCCCGUCGGGAGCGAUGGCGCCGAGAAACACCACGCAGUACCUCAUGGAGCAAGUCUACAGCGACCUGAACAUUACCGCGCUGUCCCCUAAACAGAGUAACUGUUUACCUUCUCAACACGAACAAACGUAUUCCUACAACUCUCGGUAUACUAACGAGGACACUCUGGACUUUCAGCACCGGGACUUCGAGAGCGUGUUCUUUCAGAAUGAGAUCUGAAUCGACGCCAUUUUGACGGCCGCCAUCUUGGGCCGGGGAAAAAAACCAAGAAGUCCGGAAACUUGCCGGCUGAACCUGAUUAAAAUUAAACGACACGCAUGCGCAGCAGGAGGCUCGUGGCUCUGCGGCACCAGAGUGUAAGCCCCGCCCACGCCUGCUCAGACACAUGUGCACACAGGUAAACCUGCUCCACAAAGGUGUGUGUGUAUGCUCUAUAUUGUGUUUGUGUUCUGCUGUGAGAGACUUUUGCAGGUCUGCUGCUCCAUCGCUGAUGGCUUUCAGCUGAACUUUCUGAGCAGUGGCGGUCAGAAGGACACGAGGCCGAAAGGCUCCCAGUCUUCAGGCCUGGGUAACUCUUAUUCUGAUCACUCUUAUUGUACUCUGAUGCACUGAUGGACAGGACGUGACCGGCUGAUGGACACGUAAAGUGACCAACUGCAGUUUACGUGAUGUGUGGGGCCGGUAAAUGAUAAUACCGUAAUAAAUUAAGGUUAGAGUUUAUUUUCUGACACAGAGAAUGUAGCUUGUACUUUGUUAAUACGCAACACUACACUGUUUACGUUUACUUUCAAAUAAAAUAAUUCAAUAAGUCUCUAUGUUCUGAAUUCAACAGUCUGACUGUAUUGUAAACAUCUCUGUUAAGGGAGCAGCAAGAGGAAAAAGUUCGUGACUUAACACUUUUUUGGAAACAAUAAGUUAUCACUGCAUGUAUUAUCGGAAGUAUUGAUUAUUCCUCAUUAUCCACGAUGGAGUGGGAGAUGGUGACUGAUUCCGAUAACGAGGAAACCAAUUACCUGUGGCCUUUUUUGUUGAAGUUAAGGCAGUGUUUUCCCAACAGGGGUACUCUGUCUAAAAAUCCUUCACAUUUCUAAAAUGUGAGUAAAAUAUUGUAGGUGAAAUAAGAUACUCACAUGCAACAAUAAUAAGUGUGUAUAUGUAAUUAUUAAAAAUAAAUCAUAAAACCCAGUAAAUCUUGAGAUUGUCAUUGGUCACAUUACAACAAACGAUAGGAUAGCUAUAUAUAUGACCUUUUUUAUUAAGAUUAUUAAACAUGGACCUUUUGCCUUCAUUAAAUAGACUUAUUAUUUAUUGUAGGCUCAUUUUGUAAACAUUUUUCAUUACUGUAUAGAUAAGCAAAAAGUGGGAGCUUCCUGCAAAUGUCAUUUCUCACAUUUACAAAAUCAGGUGAUCAUGUUCAUGCAUCACAUGUAUAGAGACAAAAGGAAGUUAUUACAGGAUGUUCGCUCUGUAUGGCCACCCGUCCAUGUAAACGUCUCUCUGUAUAAAGAGAAAAGUAAGCGGUUCAAUCACUGUGUUUUUGUGAAGAUAGUGAUGAAUGAAAACAUGGUGCACUCCCCAAAAACACUUUCAGCUUUGGCUUUAUUUUUUCAACAGAAUGUACAAAGCAAAUCCAAAUCACUAUUUAAAAAAAAAAAAAAAAAAACCUAUCCAUGAAUUUUGUGCCAUCUGGCUGUCUCUAUGGUCCCGCAUGGAUGGAUCAUAGAGAUACCUGUAGCCUACAAUCAUACCUUUCGGCAGGAUUCACCUUGAAGUCCUUCAAUUCCAAUGUCACGUGGUAAGUUAGAAAAAAAAGGGCGUGCAAACACGAAAACGCUGCCUUACGGAAUCAAAUAAUAAAUCUCACCUUGUUAUAUGUAAUCUUUGCAAAACAGAGAUUAAAAUUCUUCUAAUGUGAAAGACGCGUUUAGAAAAUGAGCGUGAUUGUUCUGUUAAAUUGUUUAAUCUGUUUAUGCAGAAUUAUACAGUUAUUCUUAAGAUGGUUCACAAUCAUGACGUACCAAAAAUGUUGCCCAAUUAAGUAAUUGGAGUAAUUAGGUUGGAGUUUUCCAAAGUAAAUUAAAUGUUUAUUUGCUAUGUUAAUAAUUAAAAAUAUAUAUAUUGUGAAUAAUACACUCCACAUUGUAUAUUUGUAUGAGAUUUUUAUAGGCCAAUACUGUUUUGUUUUUAACUCGGAGACUACGACACGGCUGGACCAUAGGUGACAGUACAUGCACGUCAAACACCGCCAAUAAAUCCACAGAAGAAGAAGCGGCGUCUGAUUGGAUGAUGACCUGUCGUCACUUCCGCCUGAUUUCAACGUUGUACGCGUGAUGCAGCAAGUGUAACGCAACAGAAACGUCGAGAGAACGCCCAAGCGAACAUCUCUCUCCUUCGUCAGCGGUUUAGUUUUUGAUUCCGCAAAACUAAACUAUCUUUUGUUUAAGUUAUUUCCUUAUUAUAAAUAACGUACUUGUUUUAGUACGCGCGUCGGUAUGUGUAUUGACGACAUGGGAACAGAAGGGAGAAAGCAGCGCGAGAGCCGCUCCAACGGGUUUAGAAGGAAGACGGGUGUUGUGGAAGCCGCUGUACGGAGGUCGUCGAGGAAGCCUGGACGUCGUUCUCACAGUCUGGCGUCGGUGAAGGAGAAGCAGAAACAUUCAGACGCGCUCCCGUCGGGAGCGAUGGCGCCGAGAAACACCACGCAGUACCUCAUGGAGCAAGUCUACAGCGACCUGAACAUUACCGCGCUGUCCCCUAAACUGAGUAACUGUUUACCUUCUCAACACGAACAAACGUAUUCCUACAACUCUCGGUAUACUAACGAGGACACUCUGGACUUUCAGCACCGGGACUUCGAGAGCGUGUUCUUUCAGAAUGAGAUCUGAAUCGACGCCAUUUUGACGGCCGCCAUCUUGGGCCGGGGAAAAAAACCAAGAAGUCCGGAAACUUGCCGGCUGAACCUGAUUAAAAUUAAACGACACGCAUGCGCAGCAGGAGGCUCGUGGCUCUGCGUCAUGUGCCGCUGUCCCGAGAGUGUAAGCCCCGCCCACGCCUGCUCAGACACAUGAGCACACAGGUAAACCUGCUCCACAAAGGUGUGUGUAUGCUCUAUAUUGUGUUUGUGUUCUGCUGUGCAUCUGUGUUCGAGAGACUUUUGCAGGUCUCCUGCUCCAUCGCUGAUGGCUUUCAGCUGAACUUUCUGAGCAGUGGCGGUCAGAAGGACACGAGGCCGAAAGGCUCCCAGUCUUCAGGCCUGGGUAACUCUUCUUCUGAUCACUCUUAUUGUACUCUGAUGCACUGUGAGUUCACUGUGGAGAUGUUUGAAAGGUAACCAGGCUUGUGCACUUUGUAUAUAAAUUUGUGUUUAAAGAAAAUGUAUUAAAGUUAUUUUGCUUACA